AGCCAGGCACCAGAUCGAGCAGGGGGAAACGAUCUGGAAACCGAACACCGAGGUAAAUCUAAAGUACUGAACCGAGUUUAACCAAACUUUAUGCCCUUGUUCGGUUAUAACCGGUAUUUUUAACUAAAAAAGAAAUAAGCGAGUCACCAAAUCAUUUUUUUCUUAAAGUCCAACCUAUUCAUUGGAUUCCUUUAUCCUCAAAUAUUGCACCGUCCUUC
rnacentral:lncRNA from 1 species